AGAGGNUNAGNNNGNUUUNANNNNCCNCUGCUCAGAUUGAACGCUGGCGGCAGGCUUAAUGACGCUGCUAGUUUGUGCNCCGCGCGCAGAUCGGGUGCUUGUUCCUGGUUCCUAGCGGCGGACGGGUGAGUAAUGCUUAGGAAUCUGCCUAUUAGUGGGGGACAACGUUCCGAAAGGGACGCUAAUACCGCAUACGUCCUACGGGAGAAAGCAGGGGAUCUUCGGACCUUGCGCUAAUAGAUGAGCCUAAGUCGGAUUAGCUAGUUGGUGGGGUAAAGGCCUACCAAGGCGACGAUCUGUAGCGGGUCUGAGAGGAUGAUCCGCCACACUGGGACUGAGACACGGCCCAGACUCCUACGGGAGGCAGCAGUGGGGAAUAUUGGACAAUGGGGGGAACCCUGAUCCAGCCAUGCCGCGUGUGUGAAGAAGGCCUUUUGGUUGUAAAGCACUUUAAGCGAGGAGGAGGCUUACCUGGUUAAUACCUGGGAUAAGUGGACGUUACUCGCAGAAUAAGCACCGGCUAACUCUGUGCCAGCAGCCGCGGUAAUACAGAGGGUGCAAGCGUUAAUCGGAUUUACUGGGCGUAAAGCGCGCGUAGGUGGCUAAUUAAGUCAAAUGUGAAAUCCCCGAGCUUAACUUGGGAAUUGCAUUCGAUACUGGUUAGCUAGAGUAUGGGAGAGGAUGGUAGAAUUCCAGGUGUAGCGGUGAAAUGCGUAGAGAUCUGGAGGAAUACCGAUGGCGAAGGCAGCCAUCUGGCCUAAUACUGACACUGAGGUGCGAAAGCAUGGGGAGCAAACAGGAUUAGAUACCCUGGUAGUCCAUGCCGUAAACGAUGUCUACUAGCCGUUGGGGCCCUUUAGGUUUUAGUGGCGCCGCUAACGCGAUAAGUAGAACGCGGCUAGAGUGAUUGUACGGUCGCAAGACUAAA
rnacentral:rRNA from 1 species